CCCACGGAGGCCUGGGGCGCGCCCCAGCCGGCAGUCGCUACUGGAAGUCAGUUGAUUGACCCGUGGUGGUCUCCGAGUUCUGGGGUUUGCAGCGGUCAUUAUAUCCACACCACGUCCUCCAAAUUUCAAAAACCUUUAUUUUGAAAGAACAAGCGAAAGAAGACAGUUAGCAAUUACCAAGGACGAUGACACUGAAGAAAAUACAAACGGUCUUCCGGCUUGCGCGCAAUCAGCAGGCGGCAGGUGAGCAGGAUGCCGAACACCAGAGCGUGCGCAUAACGUUUGAGAGGGUCGCCGACCAGCUGGUGGAAGA